rnacentral:rRNA from 1 species
UACGUAGGUGGCAAGCGUUGUCCGGAUUUACUGGGUGUAAAGGGCGCGUAGGCGGGCUCGUAAGUCAGACGUGAAAUACCGGGGCUCAACCCCGGGGCUGCGUUUGAAACUGCGAGUCUUGAGUGCCGGAGAGGAAAGCGGAAUUCCUAGUGUAGCGGUGAAAUGCGUAGAUAUUAGGAGGAACACCAGUGGCGAAGGCGGCUUUCUGGACGGUAACUGACGCUGAGGCGCGAAAGCGUGGGGAGCAAACA